AAUGCUUGGUUCACUAGUCUUUUCAAAAUGAUAGAUCACUUUUCUCUGUUUUUGUUUUGAUAUAUUUUCAUGCUUCUUGAUCAGCAAGAUGUGACUUGGUGACCAAGUUUUGUCGUUAUUGGCGAUUGCAAUUGGAUGCAUGUCUUUUUUGGUGUUAGUGUAAAUAUUAUUGAGUAAAUGUUCUAUAUUCUUUAGUUCCUUCUUACUGUUGGGAAAGAUAGUAAAUUUUUUUUUUUUUUCAUGUGUUGUUUCAACUUGUUACAGUUCAUUGGAAUAAGCGAUGCUUGUUGGUUUGUUAAACACAUGAUAGCAAACCACAUGUUUGUGAUGUAGGUUGAGGUAUUAUGUUUCUUUUCUUUUUCUCUCUUUUUUAUUUAAUAAUGCAAGUUUCUAUUUGGAUGUACCCUGAGGCCUGCAGAACACUUGCAGUACUGAUUCAGGAGAUGGAUACUAAUCAUCAACUGCCCAUUGUUCGAGGCAUUGAGAGAAACAGGAAACAUUUCAUGUUCGCCUCUGUUUCGAGGUUCCUUUUCGGUAGGACUUGAAAAUUUAAAUGGAUGGAUAAUUAGGGUGGAAACAAAUGAUGCCUGCUCAGUUCCUCCAACCAAGGGACAUCCAAUAUGCUAGAAGAGGGUUUGAUCUAUGGCUUGAAUGAACUUGGUUAGCAUGGGAUGCUUAGAAGCAUGGAAUGAACUGUAAGGUCCUGAUUUGUUUUGCUGCUACUCAGCGGUUUGAGUAGUUUUGUUUUAUGAUUUAAGUGUUAAUCACAGUCAGUUUCAAAGCAAUAUUGGUAGCUGAUUUUUGUUUUGCUGCUACUCAGCGGUUAAUUAAUUAUAUAGCUUCAUGGUUGUUUGAGUAGUUUUGUUCUAUGAUUAACUCAUUUGAACAUUCUGGAUUUAUAGUUUUAACGGUUAAUUGAUUUGUGAUGUGCAUUUGUUUAUUCAUGUUUAGGAAUGACUUUUUAUUGCAGAACAAAAAUACUAUUCAAAACUAGAUAGCGACAUGAACUUGUUGGGGUUAUGAUUCUAUAUGAUGGCUUCAUGCUAUCAAUCUUUCUUUUGCCAUUGCCAACUUCUCAAUUGUUGAGUUUUCAUCAUUUUAUAUCGAGACUAAUACUCCAGUCAUUCAUAUUUGAGUUAGUAAUGUUCCAUCAGUUUCUGUUCUUCAUUGAAAUGCCAAUGUUUGUGUAAGAGAGACAAGAAGUUGUCAUCGAAAAGGUUGUUCGAAAUAAACACAAAUGUGUCACAAUUGUGAAAGGCCUUGAACUCUUUGGUAUUUGCACUUGAUAUUCUUACCUCCUAUUGCACAUGGUAUCAUAAAGGCUGAGGCCCCUCACUUACAUUAAGGACAUCAAUUUUCACUAUUGGGUGGAUUUCUGUAGAAAUGUUUGCCUUUUGUGAUUUUUGAUGCUCAUAUAAUGGUAGUGGAGUAAAAUUCUUCCAAGAAACAUUCCACUGGUGUGCAAGACUUAUCUUGG